rnacentral:tRNA from 1 species
UGCAUCGGCCGGCAAUCGAACCUGGGCCGCCCGCAUAGCAGGCGAGCAUUCUACCACUGAAACCACAGAUCU